GACGAACGCUGGCGGCGUGCUUAACACAUGCAAGUCGAACGGAAAGGCCCUGCUUUUGUUGGGUUCUCGAUUGGCGAACGGGUGAGUAACACGUGAGUAUCCUGCCCUUGACUUUGGGAUAACUUCAGGAAACUGGGUCUAAUACCGGAUAGAAUCUCCUGCUGCAUGUUGGGGGUUGGAAAGUUUCGGCGUUUGGGGAUGGACUCGCGGCUUACCAGCUUGUUGGUGGGGUAGUUGCUUACCAAGGCUUUGACGGGUAGCCGGCCUGAGAGGGUGAACGGCCACAUUGGGACUGCGAGACGGACCAGACUGCAACGGUAGGCAGCGGUGGGGAAUAUUGCACAAUGGGGGGAAGCCUGAUGUAGAAACGCUGCGUGCGGGAUGACGGCUUUCGGGUUGUAAACCGCUUUCGACUGUGACGAAGCGUGAGUGACGGUAAUGGGUAAAGAAGCACCGGCUAACUACGUG
rnacentral:rRNA from 1 species